GGGUGAGUAACACGUAAGGAACCUGCCCCAAGGAUUGGGAUAACUCCGAGAAAUCGGAGCUAAUACCGAAUAGUUCUUCAGACCGCAUGGUCUGAUGAUGAAAGGCGCUUCGGCGUCACCUUGGGAUGGCCUUGCGGUGCAUUAGCUAGUUGGUGGGGUAAUGGCCCACCAAGGCGACGAUGCAUAGCCGACCUGAGAGGGUGAUCGGCCACACUGGGACUGAGACACGGCCCAGACUCCUACGGGAGGCAGCAGUAGGGAAUCUUCCACAAUGGACGAAAGUCUGAUGGAGCAACGCCGCGUGAGUGAUGAAGGUUUUCGGAUCGUAAAACUCUGUUGUAAGGGAAGAACAGGUAUGAGAGGUAAUGCUCAUGCUAUGACGGUACCUUGCGAGAAAGCCACGGCUAACUACGUGCCAGCAGCCGCGGUAAUACGUAGGUGGCAAGCGUUGUCCGGAAUUAUUGGGCGUAAAGCGCGCGCAGGCGGCCUUUUAAGUCUGAUGUGAAAGCCCCCGGCUCAACCGGGGAGGGUCAUUGGAAACUGGAAGGCUUGAGUACAGAAGAGAAGAGUGGAAUUCCAUGUGUAGCGGUGAAAUGCGUAGAGAUGUGGAGGAACACCAGUGGCGAAGGCGACUCUUUGGUCUGUAACUGACGCUGAGGCGCGAAAGCGUGGGGAGCAAACAGGAUUAGAUACCCUGGUAGUCCACGCCGUAAACGAUGAGUGCUAGGUGUUGGGGGGUUUCCGCCCCUCAGUGCUGAAGCUAACGCAUUAAGCACUCCGCCUGGGGAGUACGGCCGCAAGGCUGAACUCAAGGAAUUGA
rnacentral:rRNA from 1 species